rfam:Loxodonta africana unplaced genomic scaffold scaffold_71, whole genome shotgun sequence.
GCCCUGGUGGCAUAGUGGUUAAGCACUUGGCUGCUAACCAAAGGGUUGGCAGUUCAAAUCCUCCAGGCUC